UACGUAGGGUGCGAGCGUUGUCCGGAAUUAUUGGGCGUAAAGGGCUCGUAGGCGGUCUGUUACGUCGGGAGUGAAAACUCGGGGCUCAACCCCGAGCCUGCUUCCGAUACGGGCAGACUAGAGGUAUGCAGGGGAGAAUGGAAUUCCUGGUGUAGCGGUGAAAUGCGCAGAUAUCGGGAGGAAUACCAGUGGCGAAGGCGGCUGCCUGGCCUGUUCUUGACGCUGAGGCGCGAAAGCUGGGGGAGCAAACGGG
rnacentral:rRNA from 1 species